UCAUGGUCAUAGUGGUUUGUGUGUUAGAUUAUGACUUUGGAUACCAGGGUUCGAGUCCCUACUUGGCCAUGAA